rnacentral:rRNA from 1 species
GAUGAACGCUGGCGGCGUGCCUAAUACAUGCAAGUCGAGCGAACAGACGAGGAGCUUGCUCCUCUCACGUUAGCGGCGGACGGGUGAGUAACACGUGGAUAACCUACCUAUAAGACUGGGAUAACUUCGGGAAACCGGAGCUAAUACCGGAUAAUAUAUUGAACCGCAUGGUUCAGUAGUGAAAGACGGUUUUGCUGUCACUUAUAGAUGGAUCCGCGCCGCAUUAGCUAGUUGGUAAGGUAACGGCUUACCAAGGCAACGAUGCGUAGCCGACCUGAGAGGGUGAUCGGCCACACUGGAACUGAGACACGGUCCAGACUCCUACGGGAGGCAGCAGUAGGGAAUCUUCCGCAAUGGGCGAAAGCCUGACGGAGCAACGCCGCGUGAGUGAUGAAGGUCUUCGGAUCGUAAAACUCUGUUAUUAGGGAAGAACAAAUGUGUAAGUAACUAUGCACGUCUUGACGGUACCUAAUCAGAAAGCCACGGCUAACUACGUG